rnacentral:rRNA from 1 species
UACGUAGGGCGCAAGCGUUAUCCGGAAUUAUUGGGCGUAAAGAGCUCGUAGGCGGUUUGUCGCGUCUGCCGUGAAAGUCCGGGGCUCAACUCCGGAUCUGCGGUGGGUACGGGCAGACUAGAGUGAUGUAGGGGAGACUGGAAUUCCUGGUGUAGCGGUGAAAUGCGCAGAUAUCAGGAGGAACACCAACGGCGAAGGCAGCACUCUGGGCCGGUACUGACGCUGAGGAGCGAAAGCGUGGGGAGCAAACAGG